rnacentral:lncRNA from 1 species
CCGAUAGUUGUCACGUCAGCUCGCCUUUCAGUUAUCCUUCUCCCUCAACCUUAAUGGCUCUAUAAUGUAUAUUGAAUGAAUAAUAUGAGAAGGGAAUUUUCUGCUACCUCUUAUACUCACAUGUUGAAUUGUCACUUGUCGAGCUUCUUUUCGGCCUUCGCAUCGUUCGGAGGUACCCGAUUGGCAUCGUAUCGAUCAUCCUUUUCGUUCGCGAUCGCAGAUUUGUCUAGGACCGCUUGGGUUUGGUGCCCCCCACC